CUUUUUUGAUACGCCUCAUACUCUCACUGCAGCCAAAUCACCCACUGUUGUGUGUACUUAGCCUACAGUUUCUUUCUUCUUGAUUAUAUUGUCCUUGUGUGAAUUGAGUAAGAGUUUGGGGCUUUGGAAUUAGCUUUGGUUCAAGUUCCAGAUCUGCCCUCUUCUGGCUGUUUGACUUGGAACAAAUGGGACUAACCUAAGCCUGUGUUGUCAUCUAUACAAUAGAGAUGGUCACUGCACUAACACAAGAGGACUUCUGUGAGGUUCAAAUGCGAUGAUAUAGGAGAACACCAAGCACAAUGUGCAGCUCUAAUCCACGGGGUAGAAACCAGAUCCCUUGAUAAGGUAUCUCCAAGUAGCUUUGGAAUCGUGCACAGUUAUCUAGUAGGAACCUGUACAUUCUUCAUCCUUCUACUGCAGCAUUGUGGAAAGAGUGAAUUCAGUGUAACCCUACCUGUUGGAUACAUACUUAUGGUCCUUCUGCCUCUGUCUUCCAAGUCGCCAUGAUUAUAGGCAUAUGCAUGCAUGCUAGGCAGCCCAGAUUUUUAUGGGUGUUAUUUUUCUAUCAAGUCACUCACCUUCAGAAAGAAUUGUGGUGAUAGUAAUGAAGAUAUCUUCAGUUUUAUUGGAAAAUAUUCCCCCCAAAAAACAAAGAGGAUGCAAAGAAUAGAUCACAAUAAGAGAAUGAUGGCUGAAGAUUCCAGCCUGUCUUCCUGGCUACCAGAAGUAACACCAAACAGCAAGCACCAGCUGGAACAGAAAACAUGGGAAUCCUGGAGCAGAAGAAAGGAUAUUUACUCAAGAUAUUUCACAGUUCUAUAAAAGUAGAUGUCGCCUUAUAAAGCAGUGAUUCUCAGUCUUUGAUACAUAGCAACAUUAUGAAGAGUGCUAUUGAAGAGUAUAGAAGUGCAAGCUUGGUAAAGUAGAUAAAAUAUAUUCGGCAUUGGCUGCUGUAAUUUUAACAAGUUGCCAGGUGAUUUUGAUACACGCCCAAGUUUGACAAUCAUAUUUUAAAUAUUUGGUAUCAGUACAGUAGAUUCUGUCCAAUAACAAUCCAAAUACCUUCUCUCCACAGUAGAGAUGCUAAUGUCUGCCCAUUUCCAAGAUUACAAUAUUUUGCCCUGUAGAACAUUAACCAGUUUUGUAUCUGAGUUAGCAAGCUAAUUCGAGCCUUUCAUACCCAUGUCUAUGUGGUCUUUCUAAUUCUCUUCGAACAGGUUUAAACUCAUCCUGCUUGUUCCCUCAUUAAGUGGAUCAGAUAAGCCUUUGGCAGUGCUCACUGUAUGUUUGUAUCACAUUCAAGCUUUCAACUUCUGAAAAUUAUACUUUGACACCAGGUGAUACCAUUGUGCAUCCAAGAUUAAGAUUCACUGCUACAAAGAAAAGCUAAACUCCUAGGAGGCUCCAAACAUAAACCACUGUUGUCUCUAUCCCAAGCAGAAUAAUAUCAUUAUUCUUGUAAGUCUUUUAUGACUCAC
rnacentral:lncRNA from 1 species